CUUUAUAGAAGUUACCCUUGUAUUUUAAAUGUUACAGAGAGGUGAAAUUUUAUAAUAUAGAGAAUGAAUGCCUGAGACAGGGUGAAAAUCCAAGAUUCAUACACAUUUUUCACCCUUUCUAUUGUACAAUGCUAAUUUCAGAACCAUUUCAUAAAUUAAAUAUAUCCCUUUACAGCUCAAUUUUUUUUUUCUAUGAAUGAGAACUGACACUUAAUGUCUUUUACUGUCGUGAUCAAGACUUGGAAGCAGAACUAAAUGAUGUGUGGUUUGCCUAUCCAUCACGCCCAAGUCAUCAAGAUAGCAGCUUCCUUUUAUGUUCUGGCAUUACAAAUGGUCUAGCAUCCGGUAAAUAAUCAACCAAAUUAUACUGCACUGUUCAUCUUUAGGGAAUUACAUUGAAAACGAAUCCAGGAUCAAAGUCUCCAAGUGGAAAUUUGACACAACAGACCCUAGUUAAUAAUACUAACAGAACCAUUAUUCCAAAAAUUAAUACAAUAAAUUACAAGAUAUAGCGAACAUCAUCAACUCACCCCUCAUGAAGGAUGGAACAAAAUUAAAGCUAAAGUAUCUAUAUUAACAAAUCAAGAAAAAAAUGAAGUUUGAGUUUAUCACAAACCUAUGCAAGCAGUUGUACCCCCAGCUAGUGCAUUAGUACUCAAAUCCCUCAGUGUUAUAGUUUUGCAUGAGAAGAAUAUUCCUGGGGUGUCAAUUUUUCCUAGAAAAUAAAACCAAAAAACAUAAAAAUCAAGUCCAUUAUAAACCAAAGUUCACAAUGUGAAAACAAUAGCUUUUUCAGAGAAUUUUUAAAGUAUAAAAUCAGUUUAAUGAAAAGCUAGUUUUACAUAGUGAACUAAUCACAAUUUCACAAAUCUAUAUAAGUUAGCUAGCUUCGAUGAUAAUACCCACUUUAAAGAUCAUAUCAUCUCCGAUACACGAUUAGUUGGCUAAUAGCGUAAAACUAUGAUUCACAGUGUCUCUAAGUCAUUAAACUCAAUCAAUUACAAAAUUAUCAUUGGGAGUUGUAAAUGUUAUCAAUUGUUCAUUUUGUAUAAAACCGUGGUUGUAUAAAUUAACAGUGUUCAUCAUCAUAAAUUUCCCCGGCUUCUAUCUUUUAUCCAUUCAAAUGAAGCAUAUUCCAUUGUGAACUUAAAUCAUUCAAUUUAAAGGAAAAGAUAAGACAUAUAGAGAGCCUGGGAAUGGAACACACAUGUUGUCUCUAAUCAAGGAUGAAUUUUUGGGCAAGCCACAGAUUCAUACCUUUCUACAAAACAACAUUCUGCAGGAUUUGCUCAAAUCAUGCCCUUUCACUCUUCAUUUCAGUAGCUUAAUGGACAUAAACUACUUAUAAAAUAUCAAAACUUUUUCUACUCAGUCUCCUCAUCUUCCUCUACUCCAAAAUCCAACCCAGAAAUUUUCGUCUUCCCUAUGUUAACUGCAAUAAUUCAAACAUCAAAUAAAACACUGAGCAAGCAAGGGGCAAGGAAUUGGUCCAGAUAUAUAAUAUAAUGUAUUGAACAAAUUCAACUGGUGGCAAUAUUUGUGCUUAAGCUCAUGCAUUCAUCAAACUUCAUCCAAAUAAAAUCUGGGAAAGGAAAUAGCAAUUUCCCGCAAACACCAUCGUGGUGUUGCUGUUGAUGAACUCAUACAAAUUAUUUCCAAUAUCAAUGCUUUAAGAGUGAAGCAGUAUGGAAAGUUUGUCAAAAGCGCUUCUCAUUAUCAAAAUGGUAAUUUAAUAGUCCAAAAGAAUGCAAGAACAUCAUAAUAUAAUCAAAAGUAUAGGGUUUACGAUUUUCCCCAGAUUGCAGAACACACAUUUUAUAAUUGCUAGAGAAUCACUACCACGCCGCAGCUUCCAUUAAUUCAAAUUAACAACAAAACCUCAAUUCCCAGUCUCUCUUCCGUCAACCUCAAUCUCCGCCACCACCACCAAGCCAAGGAGUCCCACUAGCGCGCCCUUUACCUCCUCCACAAACCGGAAUUAGCUCUGAAUUCCACUUCACAAACGCACUCUUACAAAUCCCUUCUCUCCAACCAAAUUUGCCACAACUCGCAGAUUCAACAACUUCUUCUCGGUCCCAACACCGGUGCCACCUCCCUCCUCCAACGGCGCGUGGGUGAACGGAAAACGAAAACCCUAACUUCGGGUUUUGUGCUUUUCAGUUUUCAAACCUUUUAAUUUUCGCGGUAAUGCUGAGC
rnacentral:lncRNA from 1 species